GAUGAACGCUGGCGGCGUGCCUAAUACAUGCAAGUCGAACGAGGUGCUUUUUGUAGCAAUACGAGGAGUAUCCUAGUGGCGAACGGGUGAGUAACGCGUGGGUGACCUACCCCAAAGUGUGGAAUAACAGUCCGAAAGGAUUGCUAAUGCCGCAUGUGGUCUGCGAGUUUAGAAAUCGUUGACUAAAGGAGCAAUUCGCUUUGGGAGGGACCUGCGUCCCAUCAGCUAGUUGGUGAGGUAACGGCUCACCAAGGCUACGACGGGUAGGGGACCUGAGAGGGUGGCCCCCCACAAUGGAACUGAAACACGGUCCAUACACCUACGGGUGGCAGCAGUAGGGAAUAUUGCACAAUGGGCGAAAGCCUGAUGCAGCAACGCCGCGUGCGCGAUGAAGGUCUUCGGAUCGUAAAGCGC
rnacentral:rRNA from 1 species